rnacentral:rRNA from 1 species
GACGAACGCUGGCGGCGUGCUUAACACAUGCAAGUCGAACGAAGUGGCGAACGGGUGAGUAAUACGUGAGUAACCUGCCCUCCUUUUUGGGAUAAGCAUUGGAAACGGGGUCUAAUACCGAAUCAAGGGGGAUGGGCUCGCGGCCUAUCAGCUUGUUGGUGGGGUGAUGGCCUACCAAGGCGGUAACGGGUAGCCGGCCUGGGAGGGGGACCGGGUACAUUGAGACAGCUAUAGGGCCCAGACUCGUACGGGAGGGAGCAGUGGGGGGUAUUGGCAAAUAGGCGGAGGCCUGAUGCAGCGACGCCGCGUUGGGGAUGAAGGGUUUCGAGUUGUAAACCUCUUUCGCUAUCGAAGGGGUAGGUGGAGAAGAAGCGCCGGCUAACUACGUGCCAGCAGCCGCGGUAAUUC